rnacentral:rRNA from 1 species
AUUGAACGCUGGCGGAAUGCUUUACACAUGCAAGUCGAACGGCAGCACGGACUUCGGUCUGGUGGCGAGUGGCGAACGGGUGAGUAAUGUAUCGGAACGUGCCCAGUCGUGGGGGAUAACGUAGUGAAAAUUACGCUAAUACCGCAUACGAUCUAUGGAUGAAAGCGGGGGAUCGCAAGACCUCGCGCGAUUGGAGCGGCCGAUAUCGGAUUAGGUAGUUGGUGGGGUAAAGGCCCACCAAGCCAACGAUCUGUAGCUGGUCUGAGAGGACGACCAGCCACACUGGAACUGAGACACGGUCCAGACUCCUACGGGAGGCAGCAGUGGGGAAUUUUGGACAAUGGGCGAAAGCCUGAUCCAGCCAUGCCGCGUGCAGGAUGAAGGCCCUCGGGUUGUAAACUGCUUUUGUACAGAACGAAAAGGUUUCUACUAAUACUAGGAGCUCAUGACGGUACUGUAAGAAUAAGCACCGGCUAACUACGUGCCAGCCGCCGCGGUAA